rnacentral:rRNA from 1 species
UCGAAACCUGCCCAGCAGAGCGACCCGUGAACAUGUUAAACUUCGUGGGUGUUGGGGCGUUGCUCGGUGCCUCGUGUGCCUGCUCGCCCCUCUCCCAGGCCGGGGGAGCGCCCAUUCGUGGGUUGUUUCCGCGGCUAACCAACGAACCCCGGCGCGUAAAUGCGUCAAGGAAUAUAAACUUUUUGUGCGUGCUCUCCUUUCGCCCGGUUAGCCGGGCGUUGGAGUAGUGCCAUGUCUUAACAAUAAACGACUCUCGGCAACGGAUAUCUCGGCUCUCGCAUCGAUGAAGAACGUAGCGAAAUGCGAUACUUGGUGUGAAUUGCAGAAUCCCGUGAACCAUCGAGUUUUUGAACGCAAGUUGCGCCCGAAGCUUCGGCUGAGGGCACGUCUGCCUGGGCGUCACGCAUCGCGUCUCCCCCAAAAACCACCAUCGGUGGAAGGGGGAGGAGGAUGGUUUCCCGCGACUCACCGGUCGCGGCUGGCCUAAAAUUGGAGCCCUCGGCAUCGGUAUGCCGCGGCGAUAGGUGGUGAACAAGGCCUCGGCCAAGCAAGCAACCCGUCGCACAUGCCGUGCCAAUGUGGGCUCGCAGGACCCUUUGUUGUUGCCUUCAAGGCAACCAAACCGUUGCGACCC